GUAACGAAAAGGCAAGCCCCGAGUAAUCGGGGGGGCGCAAAGCCACGGGACAGUUGCUCGCCGAAAAAGUUUUUUGUCAUUCUUUCGUUUCUGGGUCGAAGCGAGAAUGUUAGCCGGGUUGCCGAA
rnacentral:ncRNA from 1 species